UUCACUCUCUUUCAUUCACUUCUGAAGAACUAGCGAGAUCUGCUCUGAAGAACUUCUGUUCUUCUGAAAUCCUACCAGGGUUCCAGAAGAAGGUGAAUCGGAAACAAAAAGCAUUUGUGUAAAAUAGGUUUUGAUGGCAUUUUGUGUAUCUUGUUUCUUUCAUGAUAUGAUUAGGUUGUUGUCAACUAUACGUCAGCUCAAUGGUUGAGUGAUUAUUGGAUAUGCUAUUUGA